UUCCUGGUGGUCCAGUGGUUAAGACUCUGCUCUCCCAAUGCAGGGGGCCUGGGUGUGACUCCUGGUCAGGGAA
rnacentral:tRNA from 1 species